rnacentral:rRNA from 1 species
CCUACGGGUGGCUGCAGUGGGGAAUAUUGGGCAAUGGACGAAACUCUGACCCAGCAACGCCGCGUGAAUGAAGAAGGUCUUCGGAUUGUAAAGUUCUUUAGUCAGGGAAGAAUAAAAUGACGGUACCUGAAGAAUAAGCGUCGGCUAACUACGUGCCAGCAGCCGCGGUAAUACGUAGGGAGCAAGCGUUGUUCGGAAUGACUGGGUGUAAAGGGUGCGUAGGCGGAUAUAGAAGUUAGAGCUGAAAUACUCAGGGCUUAACUCUGUUGCUGCUUUUAAAACUGUAAGUCUUGAGUGCGGUAGAGGUUUGCGGAAUUCCUGGUGUAGCGGUGAAAUGCGUAGAUAUUAGGAAGAACACCAAAGGCGAAGGCAGCUAACUGGCCUGCAACUGACGCUGAUGCACGAAAGUGUGGGUAUCAAACAGGAUUAGAUACCCGGGUAGUC